AGAGUUUGAUCCUGGCUCAGAAUCAACGCUGGCGGCGCGCCUAACACAUGCAAGUCGAACGAGAAAGUGGAGCAAUCCAUGAGUACAGUGGCGUACGGGUGAGUAACACGUGGGUAAUCUACCCUUUGGUAUGGAAUAACUUUGGGAAACCGGAGCUAAUACCGCAUAAUCCUGAGAAGGUAAAGCAGCAAUGCGCCGAAGGAGGAGCCCGCGGCCGAUUAGCCAGUUGGUAGGGUAAUGGCCUACCAAAGCUAAGAUCGGUAGCCGGCCUGAGAGGGCACACGGCCACACUGGCACUGAAACACGGGCCAGACUCCUACGGGAGGCAGCAGUGGGGAAUCUUGCACAAUGGGGGAAACCCUGAUGCAGCGACGCCGCGUGAGCGAUGAAGCCCUUCGGGGUGUAAAGCUCUUUCGGCAGGGAAGAUUAUGACGGUACCUGCAGAAGCAGCUGCGGCUAACUACGUGCCAGCAGCCGCGGUAAUACGUAGGCAGCAAGCGUUGUUCGGAGUUACUGGGCGUAAAGGGUGUGUAGGCGGCUCCUUAAGUUUGGUGUGAAAUCUCCCGGCUCAACCGGGAGGGUGCGCCGAAUACUGAGGGGCUAGAGUGCGGGAGAGGAAAGUGGAAUUCCUGGUGUAGCGGUGAAAUGCGUAGAUAUCAGGAGGAACACCGGUGGUGUAGACGGCUUUCUGGACCGUAACUGACGCUGAGACACGAAAGCGUGGGUAGCAAACAGGAUUAGAUACCCUAGUAGUCC
rnacentral:rRNA from 1 species